UGUAUCUGAAGCCUGACGAGGAUGAGAACCUCCGGGGGCAAGAGGUUCGACCCGAGCGAAGCGAGAGAACGUUGCGUCAGCAACGGCCCGCAGGGCGAGCC
rnacentral:sRNA from 1 species